UUUCGCAAUGCCCGAAAGGGUGACGAAGCGACGCCGCGUGGGCGAUGAAGGCCUUCGGGUUGUAAAGCCCUGUCACACGGGACGAAUGCCUUCUCGGCGAACAGCCGAAAAGGAGAGACGGUACCGUGAGAGGAAGCUCCGGCUAACUCUGUGCCAGCAGCCGCGGUAAGACAGAGGGAGCGAGCGUUGUUCGGAUUCAUUGGGCGUAAAGGGCAAGUAGGCGGUUCGUUAAGUCGGGUGUGAAAUCCCUCUGCUCAACGGAGGAACUGCAUUCGAGACUGGCGGGCUUGAGGGGUGGAGAAGCGAGCGGAAUUCUCGGUGUAGCGGUGGAAUGCGUAGAUAUCAGAAGGAACGCCGGCGGCGAAAGCGGCUCUCUGGCCCGUAACUGACGCUGAGUGUGCGAAAGCUAGGGGAGCAAACGGGAUUAGAUACCCCGGUAGUCCUAGCCGUAAACGAUGGGCACUAAGUAGAGGGGUUUUA
rnacentral:rRNA from 1 species